UAUAUAUCACGCCCAGCCUACCCAUUCCCUAUCUAACUUAGGAUGGACGCCAACCAAUACGUAGUUUUGCUGUUGGCAGUUUCUGUUCCUUACUCCUUCCAAUUUAGCGGACAUACCUGUCCAUAUCAAGCGGUCACCUACACCAGCACAACAAUCUGCACCUCCCAUUGUUGGUGGCACUGCUGUGAUCGAGAAACUAUUCAAACACCAGUUACAACCACUUCUUACAAGUGUUGCCCUGGCUGGACUCACAACGGAGACUACAACUGUAAUAUUGCUCAUUGCUACCCCCCGUGUGAAAAUGGCGGCACGUGCUACUCCCCAGGCAGGUGUAGAUGCAGGGCUGGAUACACAGGCGACACAUGCAGUGGAGGUAGGACCAACGUGUAACCUUGGAAGAUUGAU